CAUGCGCCGCGCGUGGACGUUGGCCUCAGAGUUCCUUUGGCGGCGUUACGGGCUGCGUCGCGGAGGACAAUGAAAGAGGCUUUAAGGGAACUGGACAGGAAGGAUUUUGCGUGGGGCGCGCUCCUCUAUCUUGAUGGUUUUAAAACAAUUUAAAUUCUGAGACUACUUCUUCAUUUCAGUUUCUGUGUACUCUUUUUAAAAGGAAGAGGGGAUACAGACACAGAUGUGUGCACAGAGAAGGAAGACCAUAUAAAAACAGAGACAAGACAACCAUCUACAAGUUAAGUAGAGAGUCCUCAGAAGGAGCAGUCCUGCCAACAUCUUGAUCUUGGACUUCGAGCCUCCAGAACUGU